AUUGAACGCUGGCGGCAUGCCUUACGCAUGCAAGUCGAACGGCAGCGCGGGAGUAAUCCUGGCGGCGAGUGGCGAACGGGUGAGUAAUACAUCGGAACGUGCCCAAUCGUGGGGGAUAACGCAGCGAAAGCUGUGCUAAUACCGCAUACGAUCUACGGAUGAAAGCAGGGGAUCGCAAGACCUUGCGCGAAUGGAGCGGC
rnacentral:rRNA from 1 species